CCCUUAGAUGUUCUGGGCUGCACGCGCGCUACACUGAUGCGCUCAACGAGUUUUAACCUUGCCUGGAAAGGUUGGGUAAUCUUUUGAAAACGCUUCGUGAUGGGGAUAGAUUAUUGCAAUUAUUAAUCUUCAACGAGGAAUUCCUAGUAAGCGCGAGUCAUCAGCUCGUGCUGAUUACGUCCCUGCCCUUUGUACACACCGCCCGUCGCUCCUACCGAUUGGGUGUGCUGGUGAAAUGUUCGGAUCGGCCGUUUGUCGCGGUUUCCGCGUCAUGUGGCUGAGAAGUUCAUUAAACCCUCCCACCUAGAGGAAGGAGAAGUCGUAACA
rnacentral:rRNA from 1 species